rnacentral:rRNA from 1 species
GACGAACGCUGGCGGCGUGCCUAAUACAUGCAAGUCGAACGAAGCUGUUUUAACUGGUGCUUGCACCGACUUAAACAACUGAGUGGCGAACGGGUGAGUAACACGUGGGUAACCUGCCCCAAAGCGGGGGAUAACAUUUGGAAACAGAUGCUAAUACCGCAUAACCACAGAAACCACAUGGUUUCUGUGUCAAAGAUGGUUUCGGCUAUCACUUUGGGAUGGACCCGCGGCGUAUUAGCUAGUUGGUAGGUAAUGGCUUACCAAAGCAAUGAUACGUAGACGAACUGAGAGGUUGAUCGGCCACAUUGGGACUGAAACACGGCCCAAACUCCUACGGGAGGCAGCAGUAGGGAAUCUUCCACAAUGGACGAAAGUCUGAUGGAGCAACGCCGCGUGAGUGAAGAAGGUUUUCGGAUCGUAAAACUCUGUUGUCAGAGAAGAACGUGUGCGAGAGUAACUGCUCGUGCAGUGACGGUAUUUAACCAGAAAGCCACGGCUAACUACGUGCCAGCCGCCGCCGUAA